rnacentral:lncRNA from 1 species
CCCGAAAAGUUAGUCUCAAUACAACAAUUUACAUCCAGCAAUUUAUAAGUGAAAUUUAAACACAGCUGUUCCUCAUAACCGUGCUCUCAAAAUUGAAAAUACAUAGACUAGAACUAGAUGAGAUCCUUUAGAUGGCUCCUUCAAGACUAAUAUAUCACAAAAAAUAUAAAUAAGAACCUUUAUUUUAUUCUGAGAUGUGAUCUCCUAUGUAUAGAACCAACUAUUGAUAUCUAUAAUGAGAUAUAAUUAUGCGGUUUCCACCCCAAAAAAUUUACUAGUCAUUGGCACAAGAUAUUCUUCCCCAAGUUAAGAUAAAUAGCGUACAUUUACA